AGGUGAGCCGGGACAGCCUUCUUCCUCCGCCCAGCCGCCACAGUGAUUGUCGUCAAGUCUGCCACAGGAGGAUAUUUUGUUCUGAGUUAACCUGCUUUUCUACUUCGCAGGUUGUUUAUUAAUAUUUGUGUAAUUUUAAUUACUCCUAGAAUUUCCGCAUGUGUUAGCAGUAAUUAUUUGAAAUUGGUCUGUAAUAUUAUAUUCAUGUUGGACCUGUAAACUUAAUAUUUUAAGUCUGUUUUGAUGGAUUGGAUGAGGGAGCUGAGCUCCCAUUUAUUAUUAUGUUGAUGAGUAUGUGGAGGGUGAGCUGAGCUCCCCAAUGGA